ensembl:miRNA
CUCGGCGCCGGGCGCGGGCUCCGGGCUGGGGCGAGCGAUCGCCGGG